AAUUAGUUUUUUAAUUGGAAAAUAGAAUGAAUGAUUUUAUAAAAUAUAUUUAAUAUAAUAAAUUAAUUAUAUAAAAUUUUAUGUUUAGUGAAAAUACUAAAAUAUUAUAUUUAGACAAAAAGACCCUAUGAAGCUAGAAGAUACUAAAUUUUUAAUAUAAAAUUAAUUUUUCAUCUAUUUUUUGGGGUAAAACUUAAUGAAUUUAUUAUAAUAAAUUUAUUAAAAAUAAUCCUUUUUUGUUUGAAUUAAAAAAAGCUCCUCUAGGGAUAACAGCAUUAUAUUUAUAAAAGUUCUUAUUAGAAUAAAUGA
rnacentral:rRNA from 1 species